GAUGAACGCUGGCGGCGUGCCUAAUACAUGCAAGUCGAGCGAACGGACGAGAAGCUUGCUUUUCUGAUGUUAGCGGCGGACGGGUGAGUAACACGUGGAUAACCUACCUAUAAGACUGGGAUAACUUCGGGAAACCGGAGCUAAUACCGGAUAAUAUUUUGAACCGCAUGGUUCAAAAGUGAAAGACGGUCUUGCUGUCACUUAUAGAUGGAUCCGCGCUGCAUUAGCUAGUUGGUAAGGUAACGGCUUACCAAGGCAACGAUGCAUAGCCGACCUGAGAGGGUGAUCGGCCACACUGGAACUUAGACACGGUCCAGACUCCUACGGGAGGCAGCAGUAGGGAAUCUGCCGCAAUAGGCGAAAGCCUUACGGAGCAACGCCGCGUGAGUGAUGAAGGUCUUCGGAUCGUAAAACUCUGUUAUUAGGGAAGAACAUAUGUGUAAGUAACUGUGCACAUCUUGACGGUACCUAAUCAGAAAGCCACGGCUAACUACGUG
rnacentral:rRNA from 1 species